rnacentral:lncRNA from 1 species
UGGUUGGUCUGUUAAUCAAUUUGGAGACAGCCUAUUAAUCUAAUGCUAUCGACAAAAUCAUUGCAAGGUCAGCAUGUUUCAUUCUAUAACAUUUCAAAUACAUUUGUACAAUGCAUAUUUUCAUAAUAAAAACUAUUCAUGUAUGGCAAAAUAAUUCAGUGUACUGAACCAGCGGUGUGAUAGUUUUUAUGGACCCGCAAAAAAGUUAUAGGUGCCAUAUAGUUUUACCCUUGUCUAAAAUUCCGUCAUUACGUCAUAACGUCAUUCCGUAACAAACCAUUAUACAGAGUUUUUUCCUAAACGCCUUCAGAUAUUGGCCUGAUUUUAUGUUUCGUUCCACUCCACUAAUUUUUGCCAAAAUUCCGGGCUUUGAACUUUGAUAAAUUGUUGAAAAUUACAGUUAUACAUUGUUUUUUUUCUAAACGCCUUCAGAUAUUGGGCUGAUUUUUGGUAAGUAAGUUAACCAUGAUGAUUUACAGAUCAAGUUUAAGUUUCGAUCUGUUAACCAAAUUUUGCCGAAAUU